UUUUAGACACUGACUUACAGUGCAGGCCAAACGUUUGGACAAACCUUCUCAUUCAAUGCGUUUCCUUUAUUUCAUGACUAUUUACAUUGUAGAUUCAUCAAAACUAUUAAUGAACUGGAAUUAUGUACUUAACAAAAAAGUGU